rnacentral:rRNA from 1 species
UACGUAGGCAGCGAGCGUUGUUCGGAAUUACUGGGCGUAAAGAGUGUGUAGGCGGUGCUCUAAGUUCGGUGUGAAAUCUCCUGGCUCAACUGGGAGGGUGCGCCGGAAACUGGAGUGCUUGAGCGUGGGAGAGGAAAGCGGAAUUCCUGGUGUAGCGGUGAAAUGCGCAGAUAUCAGGAGGAACACCAAUGGCGAAGGCAGCUCGCUGGGACGUGACUGACGCUGAGACGCGAAAGCGUGGGGAGCAAACAGG